AUGGAUGCACCACAUAACAGAGGAACUGAUCCCCCAUGCCUUUCUGGAAGGCAGCUGAACAUUGCCCUUACCAUACAGAUGAUCCUGUUGCUUCCCUUAAGAGUACAAACACACCAGGGAACACAAAUGGAGAAAAGUCGUUCUGCAUCAGGACAGGCUCUUCUUCCCCUCACGCAGUGGAAAUUCAUCAGCUUCAUUCAAAAGAGUUGCAUCAGGUGGGAGAACAGCACAGCCCCUGAAGGUCAGUGGGGCAACAUCAGAGCAACCUGGGCACUUCAGAAAUGUCACUGCUACACAUUUCCCACUACUGACAGAGCAGAUUUGGGUUGGGCACCCCAGGGAACACACUGA
rnacentral:lncRNA from 1 species